rnacentral:rRNA from 1 species
CGGAGGGAGCUAGCGUUGUUCGGAUAUACUGGGCGUAAAGCGCACGUAGGCGGCGUCGUAAGUCAGGGGUGAAAUCCCGGAGCUCAACUCCGGAACUGCCCUUGAAACUGCAAUGCUAGAAUCUUGGAGAGGCGAGUGGAAUUCCGAGUGUAGAGGUGAAAUUCGUAGAUAUUCGGAAGAACACCAGUGGCGAAGGCGACUCGCUGGACAAGUAUUGACGCUGAGGUGCGGAAAGCGUGGGGAGCAAACAGGAUUAGAUACCCUGGUAGUCCACGCCGUAAACGAUGAUAACUAGCUGUCCGGGCUCAUGGAGCUUGGGUGGCGCAGCUAACGCAUUAAGUUAUCCGCCUGGGGGGUACGUCGCAAGAUUA